rnacentral:tRNA from 1 species
GCCGCCGUAGCUCAGUUCGGUAGAGCGCCUGGCUGUUAACCAGUUGGUCAUCGGUUCAAAUCCGAUCGGCGGCGCCA